UCCCCACCUUAUGGAAGUUUUCCAUGUCCUAUAUAACUAUCCCCCGGAAGGGGCACAAAAAUGGUCCCUAACCCCAAAUCCUUCAGGAACCUUAGUUGGGAUUGACGAGAAAAACAGGAAGAGAUAUGGAGCAAACUAACGAAGAGGAAGGCGGGAGGAAAAGUUGGGGAAGAGGCCGUCUUAAAUGCACAUGAUGACUGACAGCGGCCUAGUGUCAGGACAGAUGAAAGCAAGUGGAAGAUGACACUAGACCUAGGUUUCUUGGGCCAGGAUUUAUGGACAUUAAAUCAGUCCCUCCCAGUGUUGUGAAGAGCGUGAAGCGAGGAAAAGCGACAACCCCCAUUUCACGAGAAGCGAGAAGUGAAGCGCUCGAUUUUUUGAAGUGAAGCGGAAUUUAAAAAUAAAAUUAAAAUAAAUACUGCAUAGACAACACAUGUAGUUGUAAGCAAAUGUUCAAUACUUUAAUUAAAAAACUAAAUAGUAGCAUCAAUUAAAGCACAAAAUGAGCAUCCUAUUCUUCUACAUUUGGAUCACCACCGAUUAGAUGUGCUUUUUGACGAUAGAUUUUCCCAUUUGAAAUCUUAUCACAAAAAAGACAUCUAAUGGCCAUCUUGUUGGUCUCGCUAACAGAGUAAGCCCAAACCGGUUCUUUCCUAUCUUCUUUUGGCGCCAUUAAAAGAACAACUACAUAACACAUAAGAAAGGCAAUAAGAACUAAGAAUAAAGGAUAUAAAAAAUUAGAGGAAUUCUCUGUUAAAAACUGGAAAAAUUGGGCAGUAAUUUUCUGGAAAAAAUUUGCCAGCAUUUCGCCUCUUUUUGGACGUUUAGAAAGAAAAAGAAAAAGAAGAAGAAGAAGAAUGAAAAUCAGAAGUUCAGAACAUACCUGUUGAAGUCUUGAACUUGAAGUUGAAGAAGAAGAAGAACAACCCUAGUUGAUGCUUUGAGAUUCUUUCAGAAAUAAGAAGUAGAUGAAGAAGAAGUCGAUGCUGUUGGAAGUUGAAGAACCCUAGUCGUUGCAGUUGAAGAAGUCCAGACCAGUGUUUAAUCCAAAAAACUCGUUUUUAAUAAAAUAGGGUUGGGUAUUUUAAAACAGAAAAGCGGACGCUUCUUCGCUUCGCUUCGCUUUCCCCGCUUCUCGCUUUUUACAGAGAAGGGGUCGCUUUUACUGACCUGAGUCGCUUCACCUUGCUGAACCGCUGCCCUUCACGCUUCGCCUCGCUUCUCGCUUAAAGCGAGGAAGCGAGCGCUUUUUUAAACACUGGUCCCUCCUUAGGCCAAAAGUGCAUAGCCCAUAAUUAUGGAGAUACUGACAAGCUCAAAGUUGUGAUAGAUUUCAGCCCAAUGACAAUAAGGCUAGAGGAAACAAAGCUAGGAGGCCCAAGGAAGAAAUCUAAAAAAUUGACUAGUAGGCCAGCUAAGCCUACAUCUUACGAAUUAGCUACAUCUUACGAGCCCUUUGUUGAAGGAAGCGGUUGUUGCUUCACUUAAGAAAAUGGUUGUCCAACCUAGGCACGACAAGCCGAGGCUCGUGUCACGUCCCAAACUGUCCCUAGAUAUGAUUAGCACACAACACUCCACGCCAGGCGAACUAUAUCCCAUAUAAUUAACCAUUUAUACAAGCACUGGGAGAAAAGAAGAGCAUUAUUAAUAAUUAAAUGCGGAAUAAUCAUCAACCAAAUCCAUAAUCUAUUAAUAGAAAAUCAAUGAUUACUUAAGUAAUAAAACUCUAGCCCAAAUCCCACGCUAAGACAGUCGAGCAUCUAAUAAAGUUAUAUGUGUUUAGCUGGCCGGUAUGCAAACCCAAGGCAAAGGAAAUAAUUGGCAUAAACUAGAUAAAGCUGAAAAGAUGACCUCUAUGAACAAUGCGGUGGCUCACCUUAGCAACAUAAUCAACCCUAACGAAUUCAUCAUCCACUAGCUCUGCCGUCCGCAACAAUAUCUGCAUAGAGAUGCAGGUAAAUAGUGAGUUAUACAUAAAUAUAACCCUGUAAGAUCCUUGACCCGUCCCUUUGAGUACUCAUCGAACAAAUGUUAGAAAAUACAAAUACAACAAGGACAAAAUAAUAUGUGCAAAAAUCAUAUGCAUUAUAAUAUAUCAGCCGAGUAUAAUUAAAAUAUUCAACAAGAGCCUACCACAUCUCAUACAAUUUGCUAAAGACUUGUCAUAUUCGAUGGUGGAGGAAAUUAACCAAACACCCCAACGAGUCUACGACAACAUAUGCUAUGCUCCAAAUCUAUCACGACGGCAUACAUAAUGCCCCAAGUAUAUUACAGGAGCAAAGAAACUAAUUGAACAUUCCAAUGCUAUGGCACGAAGCCAUGCCACACAACCAGUCAAUCAUUAAAUUAUUUCAGCAUUUUAAAUAAAAUAGUAUAUUCGCGGCCAGUCACAGACUACCGAUUCUGCCAAGCACACGCUUGUCCCAACACAUGAACCAGGCCGACAAAAUAUAGUUUAAAAGUAAGCUUUGAAAAGUAAGCGCCAAAGUUUAAAGUCUCACUUACCUCACUUCCGCAGCCUUGCGACGUCUAGAAGGCCAACCAUUUUAUCCAAAUACUAAAUAACACGUCCUAAUUAGUCUAGGUGAAUAAUUUCCACAAUUUUAGGACAAGUCAAAAUCAAAGUCACCCCCGGUCCAAUUAAUUAAAAAUCCGUACACAAAUAAAUGCCAAAUGAGGCACUUUAGCAGUGUACCAAAAUGCCAAAACAGUGGCUUUAGUCAUACCACCAAGCCAGCAUCAUUAUUUUAAUCAUGGCAUCAUGAUGAUUCCUAUAUUCCAAUGUACUUAGUAACAGUAUUUGUGGCAAUGUGAAAUAAGAGGUCUCGUUUUCAAAUUCCUCAUCUCAUAUCUUAUCAUUACAAGCUAUCAAUCAUUAUCUCAUCAUUAGAACCCAAUCAUUAGUUAAUCAUCACCCCUCACGUCAUUACCCAAAUCAUUGGGUAGUCAUUAUUCUUCCUAAAUUUAAAAGAACAAAAAUCAAUACUACAUUUUUUUCACCCAUAGCAGAUUAGCUUUUCAUAUCAAAUUCCACUAACUCAUUAUCAUUUCCAUAUUAUUUACCCCACAAUCCUAAUCAUUAUGUCUCCCACUCAUCAUCAUCAUCAUAUCAUUGAUUCAUUAUUGGCAUCAUUAAUACUUCUUAGAUCAAACUCACUCACUCACUCUCUCUCUCUCUAUAUAUAUGUAUAUAUGUAAAAUUUAUUUUCUUGGGUCUAGGAAGAAAAAACACUCAUAGAGGAAUUCACUGAUGACAUUGCAGUGAAAAUUUCAUAGCUUGAGGUAUUGUAAUUUCAUAUGCUAAUGGGUCAAAGAAAUUACAAUACCUGAAGUUUUGAAAUUUUCAGUGCCCUAACUCCUUAACGUCACUGGUGAAUUUCUCUACGAGUUUGCUUCUUUUCUUCCAAAAUCCAAGGAAAUAAAUUAACCUAAUUUCUACUCCCUAAGCCGCUAUGAUUAAUCAAACUUUCAUUCUCAUCUUCUAUUUUUCCAAAUUGAUGGCAAAGCUUGCUCUGGGCACUUGUGUAAUUUUCGAAGUUUGAUUGUUCUAGUGCCCCUAUCUAUCAUUUAACCUUGAGGGAGUGAAGGAGCAUUAUGUAUUACGGUUUCCUUCUAUUAACUGUCUUGCAACACUCUUUUUUUCCCCUUAUAAUUCCUUUUUCUGGUGGCCCUGUUUGUUUUGUCCUUGGGGGGGGGGGGGGGAGGUGGUGGUGGUGGAGAGAGGUAAGUAUAGAGCUAGCUAUAUGGUGCAGUAUGGUCAGGCUGCAACAGGAGUUAUUUGUUAGUUUCUGACUAGUCUCUUGGUUAAUAGUGAUGUUUUAAGAGUGCUGGGGAAUGUGAAAUAGUUUGCAUUCUAAGUUUUGGGGGGAGGGGGAGCGGCGAGGGUGGAUAAAUAUUGCAGUAGGCUCAGGUGCUGGCAAAGAAGAGAUAUCGCUACUUUUCAAUUUUCCUGACUAAUGUCUUUGUUAAUACUGAAGCGCAAGAGUGAUGAUAAUGUGGAGCUUGUGUAGCUCCUCACCUGAUUAUGGAAGAUACAGUUUGCAUUCUAAGUCAGGGAUGGAGAAGAGUUUUUCUUGAAUAUACUCAGAAUUUCAAUAACAUUUGAGUGCAUGUAACAAUUACUUAGAUCUGAAAUAACGGCAUGUUAAGAUUUAUGAAACAUCGCCGAGAUGAACAAGUUAAAAACUUGAAAUACUGUAUUCUAUCCCUCGAUACAGUACCACUCUUUUACUUUACUCUUAUCACAGAUAAUUGAAAAGAUAUUCACUUCAAAGACAUAACAUGGAUAUGACACUACCGACCCAAAAAAGGGAUGAAAUUUUUAAUUCUUGAAAUAUUGACAAACUCUGAUUUUGGUCAUUGUGAUAUUUGGUUAAGCACAUUUAUCCUUCAACUAAUUGAAGUGUUCACUUUUAAUCCAUCUACUUGUUAAUCUUCACAACUUUAAUGAAUUGUUAAUUGCUAAAAGCAUUUAAUUACCCAUGUGCUAUGUUAAAUUAUAUUGUUAUUCCAUAUUUGAGGGUAACAUAGCUGUAAAAACUAAUCUAACUAUAACUUUUUUCCUAUAUAAAGAGACCAAAAACACACAUUUUAAAUAAAAUGAAGGUUAAAUAUAUUUGGCGUCACAAGGAUCAAAAUAAGAAUUUACCAAUAAUCUAAGUUGCUCGGAGUCUCGGACUCUUUACUUUGGAUGCCGCACUAUGUCGACACAACGUAGGUGUGGGAUCCCAACCGGAUUUGAUCAACCGAUUUUGGGUAUUUUGACAAAAAUCGACUGAGAAAUAUGGGACAGAUAUAUUGAUUUUUGAAAUCAAAACAAAAGUUAGGGUGAAAUUGAAAAAUAUGAAAUACCUUUUAUAUAGAAAUUUCUAUGUGAGACCUUUUCCUUUUAUCUCAUUCUCAGAUUCUCCUCUUGAUCAAUAUUUUCUCCUUCUCGAAAUACCUUGUAAUUUUUUCACCUAAUGUCUCAUAAUCUAGACAUAUUUUUAUUACUCUAUUUUAGAUAUUUGAAAUAUUUUUAGGCAAUCCCGGCACCCGUAAUUGUACCUGCAUCUCUACCCUCACAUCUUAAAAUUUAGAUCAUGAGGGAUUUGACAUCUAGAUCCGCACCCGUAUCGGACACCAGCGCCCGAAUCCGAGCAACUUAGCCAAUAAUUGAGUGAUCAAAUGUGUAAUUAUCCCAAAAAUAAAUGAAGAAAGAACAUUUUACUCCUCCUUCACUGCUCUGUUCUUCCCAGGGUGAUGUUUCCCUCUUUUCAUUUUUUUUGGCGAUUGGAAUAAGGAUCAGAUCAGAGCAGAAAAGCUAGUAGUCGAGUGCUCAUAUAUAAAAAUUCUUGUAGUUGAAAUUUUAUACCCCUUUGACUUGACCCCAUUAAUUAUACUUUUGGGGUCUUUUCUUGUAGGUUAGAAUGGUUCUCUUUGAUCUGCACAUUCUGGUUGCAAAUAUUGACAUUGAUUGCAAUAAAUGAUGUUGUCUUUCAGGAAAGACUUCAGCUAUAUCUGGGUUGCAAGUAGAGCUCAGCUCUUGCUUCUGAUGCUCAUGAAACCCCUCUGAUCAUUCAGGAGCUGACCUCUCAAAUAUAUACAUAACUGCACACCAAUCAGCUACGCCUCAAUCCCAAACAAAUUGGGUUCUCUAUGAAUCCUCACUGACAUGUUGCUCCAUUUAGAUGAAAUAUCAGAGGGAGGGAGGG
rnacentral:lncRNA from 1 species